rnacentral:rRNA from 1 species
UACGGAGGGUGCAAGCGUUAUCCGGAUUCACUGGGUUUAAAGGGUGCGUAGGUGGGUCUGUAAGUCAGUGGUGAAAUCUCCAAGCUUAACUUGGAACUGCCGUUGAUACUAUAGAUCUUGAAUGUUGUGGAGGUAAGCAGAAUAUGUCAUGUAGCGGUGAAAUGCUUAGAUAUGACAUAGAACACCAAUUGCGAAGGCAGCUCACUACACAAUCAUUGACGCUGAGGCACGAAAGCGUGGGGAUCAAACAGG